CGGAGGGGGCGAGCGUUAUUCGGAAUUAUUGGGCGUAAAGGGCGCGUAGGCGGCCCGGUAAGUCAAAGGUGAAAUCCCUCGGCUCAACUGAGGAACUGCCUUUGAAACUGUCGGGCUUGAGGCCGGGAGGGGGUAGCGGAAUUCCCAGUGUAGCGGUGAAAUGCGUAGAUAUUGGGAGGAACACCGGUGGCGAAGGCGGCUACCUGGACCGGUUCUGACGCUGAUGCGCGAAAGCGUGGGUAGCAAACAGGAUUAGAUACCCUGGUAGUCCACGCUGUAAACGAUGAGUGCUCGGUGUCGCGGGUAUCGACCCCUGCGGUGCCUUAGCUAACGCGUUAAGCACUCCGCCUGGGGAGUACGGUCGCAAGGCUG
rnacentral:rRNA from 1 species